GAUGAACGCUGACAGAAUGCUUAACACAUGCAAGUCGAUGGGGAAGUGGUGCUUGCACCAUGGCAACCAUGGCGGACGGGUGAGUAACGCGUAAGGGACUUACCUGCAGGACUGGGAUAACAGGGGGAAACUCCUGACAAGACCGGAUAAUGUCAUGGAGCUGCAUGGCUUUAUGAUGAAAGGAGACGCCUGCGGAGAGCCUUGCGUCCUAUUAGCUAGUUGGUGAGGUAAUGGCUCACCAAGGCGAAGAUAGGUAGCCGGCCUGAGAGGGUAGACGGCCACAAGGGGACGGAGAUACGGCCCUUACUCCUACGGGAGGCAGCAGUGGGGAAUAUUGGACAAUGGGGGCAACCCUGAUCCAGCAAUUCUGUGUGCACGAAGAAGGUUUUCGGAUUGUAAAGUGCUUUCAGCAGGGAAGAAGUAAGUGACGGUACCUGCAGAAGAAGCGACGGCUAAAUACGUG
rnacentral:rRNA from 1 species